rnacentral:rRNA from 1 species
UCGCACCUCGAUAGAG